rnacentral:rRNA from 1 species
UACGUAGGGGGCAAGCGUUGUCCGGAUUUACUGGGCGUAAAGAGCGCGCAGGCGGUCGUUCAAGUCGCGUGUGAAAGCCCCCGGCUCAACUGGGGAGGGUCACGCGAUACUGAUCGACUCGAAGGCAGGAGAGGGAAGUGGAAUUCCCGGUGUAGUGGUGAAAUGCGUAGAUAUCGGGAGGAACACCAGUGGCGAAGGCGGGUCUCUGGACAGUUCCUGACGCUGAGGCACGAAGGCCAGGGGAGCAAACGGG